AGAGUUCCAACUAAAAAUAGAGAGCAGCAAUGCCAGCAGCCAACGGUCAGCGCUCCCGCUCCCAGUGACAGCACUAAUAACUGCAGCCGCUUCAGAAAGGUGGGUGGCCCAAUAAAAGAGGCCCCGGGGUGCAGUUCUGCCCGCCUCGGCCGCGCCGCCGACUUUUCCCAGCCGGCCGGGAAACCGCCGCAGCGAGGCACAGCGCCGAGCCGGAGCCCCGCACGUGCGGCGCGCAGUCCCGCGGACCCAGCGCCCGCCCGCCGCCCACGGCCCUCAGACGGAGCCCGGGUGCGCGGGGGGGGGGGUGCUCGCCGUUCCCCCACCCCCUCCGCAGCCUCGCCGAGCCUCGGAUUCCGCCCUUACCCAGAGCGUGAGGGGGACACGAGAAGGGGCAGACAAAAGUGCUCACUAUAUGUUUGCAAAGAAACUACUUGUGCAUCAGCUAAAGCAGUGAGUGUGCCCAUACCUGCUCCUUCAUCCAGGAAAAAGGGCAGCUGUUUUCUUCCAAGGUGCGGGUUUUCCUUCACCUUCCUCCUCCCACCGAAACCAGUAUUUUCUCACAACGCUCCGUCACAAAGAAUGACAUUUUUCAGUAGGAGUUCGGUUGCUUUUUCCCCCAAACACACUGCCUGUUGAUAGAAACACAUAACCAGUGAGAAAUGGGCGGAAGCUGCUCUGUGACACGAGGCCUUGGCGCUGCUGGGGACGCCAUGCCAGGAGCUGAGCUGUGCUGGCUGCCCCCAAGGUGUCCCACAUCUUCCUCACACCCAGGUACCACAAACACCUCAGCAGCAGGGAUGGGGAUAAGGAUUCCAUGGGGUUCUCCAUUUUCCCUUGUGCCAACACCAAAUCUGCCAUAGGAAAUACAGUUGCUACAGUCUAUAUGCAGAUGGAACCAACAAAGCAUCCCCUUGGAAAUCACAAGCGAGCUGUAAAUCACAUGCAAGCACUUAACCAAUAGAUGUUUAAAACUUGCUUUUCCUUUCAGAGGUUCCCCAGACAGUGGCCACAUCCUAAUGGAUUUGCCUUGCUGUAUGUUCUGCGGCCACAAUUGAGAUUUCUUCUUGGUGCCCCAUGGACCCCUGCCCAUCUCAAACAGUGGGACCAAAUGCUCAGGAAAUCUUUUGGGACCUGAUGGUUACCAGGGGUAUUUGGAGAAAAUUAAAUUUGGCCAGCUGUGAAAAGAAGCCUGACCUCCAUGCUGAGGAAGCUGCCUCCCACCUUUCUGCCAGCCCUGCAAGAAUUCCUCCAGCAAAACCAGGGAAAGCAAAGCUGCGACAUUCCCGAAACGUCUGACAUGCAUUUGUUAGAAAGUAAAAAACAGGUUAAAAAUAACCUUAUCAGGCCUCACUUUUUUUCCCGUUUCUUGUUGGAAGAAAGAGGGACUCCCUUCAGAGAAGGCUGUAUGCUCCCAGCACAGAGGACUCCAAGCACAGAGCCAAUGCCCCGUAUCACCUAAAUUUUCUUAUGUAAACCUGAGCAAGUCAUAGUGUAGCAUUUCCUCAGUUUCCCCUUCAUAAAAGGGGCAGGGAAAAUAACUUUCCUUUCAUCCUUUCUGCGUAAUGUAGAGAAAGCCACAGCAGGUCUGGGGCCUGGCUGUGCAAAGAAGGAAGGGGAGAAAUGUAGACUGCAAGCCCAGCACUCCCCCCGAAGCUACAGGCAGGCCAGCUCUUGUUUUCUGCCAUUGUUGUCAUCCCUGACAGAGAAAGAAGGGAAGUGCAGAGGCUUAGAAGGGAAAACAAAGAGCCCAGCUGUAUCUGAACUCCCAGGGAUGUCCUCCAGGAUAACCUUGCCAUCCCACCACAGCUGGAAAACUUGGCUCAACUGAAAUGCUCUAAAUGCUUUCUACAUAUUUACUCCUUCUGGAUUUCUCCCUCCUACUCCAGUUUACAGCAUCCUCCUCUCCCAGCUGCCAGAAUUGUCUGAGCUCCUGUAGAGCUAAACACUUAAUGACAACUGCAGAAGCCCCUAAAGUGAAUUUACUGCCUUAUAAAUGACACACAGGUUUAUUUUAUGGCGAAUAUCAGUACCGAGACAUGCAUCUUUACUUCUCUUGGGCAGCACUGUUUACUGAAGACAAAGUCACUGGAUCCAAACAGGUUGAGGAGGUUCUGUGGCGAUUUGUGAAGGGGAUGUAAAGAGAACAGUAAGAAAAAGACAGCAAGCAACAACAGUUUCCUCCUCUACCUCUAAGGCCACAGGACAGUCACUUUCCUUUUCCAGCAUCUCAGAUAUACAUCUUCAUACUUCCUCAUCCAUCUUUCAGAUAGAAAGCAGCCUCAAGCUAAACAUAUAUAGGGAUUUUUAGUCCUUCUCACUGUUUAUCACAAGUGAAGAUGUGUAUAGAUAAUCUAGAGUAAGUUAGAAAUGACUGAGGUAAAUACUGUCUGGAUGCAGGUUCCCUCAUCUCCUCUAAAAAAAAAAAAAAAAACAGACACGAGAAGGACAACAUAUACAUACAAGAGCUGUAGUUAAGAUUACACCUCCCAGGAAGACAACUGAAGAAACCUUAGCAAGGGGUGGGUGAGGUCAUGGACUCAUCAGGACACACUUCAGAAAGCUCAGGCCAUCCGCCAGACUCUAUGGGCAGCACUCAAUAGCUUCUCCAACACCAGUUGCUCACAUGCUGCCUGUUGGUAACGGUAACAUUUUCCCUCUUCUUUUAUCCAUCGUGCUGGUUCAGACCACCAUUCCCUGCAAAAGGUAGCGCAGCGCAAGCGAGGCCUAAGGUUACAGAGGAUUUUUAGGCAAUGCUUUGGAAAAAGUGGCUUCUUAGUGUUAAACAACGCGUAGCGUUCAGAACUAAAUAACUGCACUGCCAUUAAUUAGAGCUGCCUGACAUAGUGAGAGAGUGUUACCAUCAUCUCCUGCACCACUGGCUGGGAGCGGGUGAUGGCUAAAUAUCAAGGAGGCUACUUUCAUGGAGCCAAGACAGCCAAGAAAAAGAGCUCAGCUGCAUUAUAGAUAUAACUGUAGAAAAUGAUGCAUGUAUCAACUGGAAUACUUUCCUUCGUAGGCAGAGCUCAAGUGCCAUGCCUGGAAUUACAGCCCUUGCAUUUCUAGUGCAGCCAUUUCCAGCAUCCAUCGUGACCCCAGAGAGGUUAUGGCAGCUACAGACUGGAAGAUCUGGAGACACCGUGAAUCAAGAGAUCAGAGUACAAUGGGACAGAGCCUUCCCAGAGAAGUGAGCUAAAGGAGAGGUGGCUGACAAGUUUGCAAGAGGAAAAUACUAAAAAAAAAAAAAAAGUAUGAAAAGUGUCCUAGUGGUAUCAAUUGAAACAACACUUAAGGGUAUUCUGUGUUAGUGAGAUGGUGAGGGUAAAAGGGCCUGUUCCCAAAGCCUCCUGCAGGCUAGCAGAGGGGCUGGCACUGCCUGAGGAGGAGGAACAUGUCACCAUAAAAAGUUCUGAAAACAUAAAAAUAGUUCAGUGGGUUUUCUGGUGGUGAUUCUUGGACUCUGAAUGCUUUUCUGGUCAUAACUACACUCCCUGCUGCAGAUACCAGAAAAGCAGUCAUCGCAUUUCUCUGCGCUGCACAAGUAAGAGUUGCUGUUUAAACCUCCAUACCAGCUACCUUUGCAGAGCUGCUUAUAAAAUUAACUAUUCCUGGUGCUGGAGCCACACUUUCUUUCUAGUUCUCAGUAAAGGUUUUGUUCCAAAGAGAGAAAAAAUUAUCCCUUCGGUGGGAAACAUGGGAACUAUGAAAGGAGAGUGAUUCUGUCUGAAGAGACAAAGUCAGUCGCAGUUGUCUUUUGCCCUAUGCUCUUUGCGAAGAGCCAUCUUUUAUUACAGGCAACUCCAAUAUUUCAGUGGAAAUCCAAAGCGCCAGUAAAAAUUAAAGGAGUCAGUGCAGAGAAAAGUAUUCAAGGAGUACUGUAAAAAUCCCCAA